UUCUUGUUUUUACUGAAACAGAAUGGCAUUGUCCAUUCUGUAUUGGUUAAAUUUUGUAUCAGGAACUAAAAAGCUUCACCAGAAGUCUGAACUGGCCGUAAAAUCUGACCACGUACUAAAAUUUGUGUACGAUGCUUAGCUGAGACACGUCCAGGGAAGAGUGCAAGCCAGCACGAGGGAUAGAAGCUAUCAUGUUAACAUCACACUCGGGGAAAAUUACACGGUUGAAGAUAGUAUUUGUGACUGUGUUAAUGGUCAGGAUAAGUGUCACCACAAAGCCUCUCUUCUGUUAUAUGGAUAUAAGAAUGUAAGCAAGACGGACAUACGAGAAUCAUGGAUUAAACACCCUAAGAGUAGACCACCUAAGAAAGUCAGGACAAUGGAUGAGCUAUUUCUUCCUACACCAAAACUAGCUAACUUCAGCCAUGCAAUGGAUAGUUUCUGAUGAACUCCCUGCUCCCAAAGUGGAUGUUCCAUGUGUAGAGGAUCUUCUGUUAACAGAAGGUUACACAAGUGCGACCAAUAAAGUGCAGUGGCUUAAGACAAACCUGAGUGUAUCAAAGCAGCAGAUAGAACAAGUGGCACAAAUGACAUCUGGUCAACGAACAAAUCAUCUCUGGGCUUUGGUUAAAAAAAAUCGAUUAACUGCAUCAAAUUUUGGUGUAGUACUGUCUGCGAUAAGAAG